GUCGCGUUCGUCUACCUGGCCCAGGACACCGGGAUUUCAGUCCGGUUACGCGGGUUCGGUCAGCGCGUAGCGCUGGACGCGCCGCAGGCGCGGGCCGAAGGCCGAGGGCGCAGCCCGAGCAAUCCCGCACGCGAUGCCA
rnacentral:tRNA from 1 species